rnacentral:lncRNA from 1 species
UGGAAACGUGCCACCCACAGGUCUUGCUCUACUCCAGAAAACCAUCACUUUGAGCUCCUUCAACCCCACCUGCGUUGGGCACUGCCCAUUCUUUGUACCCUGCGAUGGCCCCCGUGUCACACGUGGCACUUGUGAAGACUUCUUGACAUAACCGUCUUUCUUCUGAGACCUUGAGCACCCCCUGGACUGCUGGGGUUUGAUUCCUCUUGCGAAUAAAUAAAGUAGGACUUUGUGAAGAUGUUGCUCAAGCCACGUCUGAUGCUCUACGUCAAUUGAUUGUCAUUGGCCUGUUGAGAGGCCGUCUUCAGGAUUUCAGGGUCCAUCUGAAAUAGUCCUCCCCACUCUGCCUUUCAAAGUAUUACAUGCUGACCUUCAAAGUCACAUGAUUUCCAAAUGCGACCAAAUCAUGUCUGUCCACAGGCCCUCGGCCCUUGCGGUGCUCCACUCUGAGAAUGGAUUACUGGGCAAUGUGCAUCCUCUUGGUUCAUCACACAAUUGUCUUCUGGCAGACCCUGCAUGUAAUUCACGCCUUCUUGGGAAGGCCUAACCCCAAGGAGAGUGCUGCGGAAGGCACUGCUUUGUCCUGAACCAGAACCCGGCAAAUCCAAGCACCCUUCUCUCUUCCUCACCAACAAUCAAGUUAUUCUUACAAAUAAAGGUUCGGCCUGGGUAUCGUUAAAGAUAACCUUUGUGCAAGUGAAGUCCGUCUUUCUCUCAACAUCAUCAGUAUUUGGGGAGGAGUGAGUGACCCCUGGGAGCAGGGAUGCAGAGAUCU